rfam:Ciona savignyi cont_2305, whole genome shotgun sequence.
CAAACGGCUCUUUUCAGAGCCACCUAUUAUUUCCAAAGAGAUAAGA